GACGAACGCUGGCGGCGUGCUUAACACAUGCAAGUCGAACGAAGUGGCGAACGGGUGAGUAACGCGUAAUCCACCUGCCCUUCAGAGGGGGACAACAGUUGGAAACGACUGCUAAUACCGCAUACUGAAGGAGGGGCUUGCGUCGGAUUAGCUAGUUGGAGGGGUAACGGCCCACAAAGGCGAUGAUCAGUAGCCGGUCUGAGAGGAGGACCGGCCACAUUGGGACUGAGACACGGCCCAGACUCCUACGGGAGGCAGCAGUUGGGAAUCUUCCGCAAUGGACGAAAGUCGGACGGAGCAACGCCGCGGGAGUGAGGACGGCCUUCGGGUUGUAAAGCUCUGUUAAUCGGGACGCGGUACCGGAAGAGAAAGCCACGGCUAACUACGUGCCAGCCGCCGCGGUAAUAC
rnacentral:rRNA from 1 species